rnacentral:rRNA from 1 species
CCUACGGGUGGCAGCAGUGGGGAAUAUUGGACAAUGGGCGAAAGCCUGAUCCAGCCAUGCCGCGUGUGUGAAGAAGGCCUUCGGGUUGUAAAGCACUUUCAGUGGGGAAGAAAGCCUUGGGGCUAAUACCCUCGAGGAAGGACAUCACCCACAGAAGAAGCACCGGCUAACUCCGUGCCAGCAGCCGCGGUAAUACGGAGGGUGCGAGCGUUAAUCGGAAUUACUGGGCGUAAAGCGCGCGUAGGCGGUCUGAUAAGCCGGUUGUGAAAGCCCCGGGCUCAACCUGGGAACGGCAUCCGGAACUGUCAGGCUAGAGUGCAGGAGAGGAAGGUAGAAUUCCCGGUGUAGCGGUGAAAUGCGUAGAGAUCGGGAGGAAUACCAGUGGCGAAGGCGGCCCUCUGGACUGACACUGACGCUGAGGUGCGAAAGCGUGGGUAGCAAACAGGAUUAGAUACCCCUGUAGUC